rnacentral:rRNA from 1 species
UACGAAGGGGGCUAGCGUUGUUCGGAAUUACCGGGCGUAAAGCGCGCGCAGGCGGCUAUCCAAGUCAGUGGUGAAAGCCCGGAGCUCAACUCCGGAACUGCCAUUGAAACUGUUUAGCUUGAGGAUGAGAGAGGUGAGUGGAAUUCCCAGUGUAGAGGUGAAAUUCGUAGAUAUUGGGAAGAACACCGGUGGCGAAGGCGGCUCACUGGCUCAUUACUGACGCUCAGGCGCGAUAGCGUGGGGAUCAAACAGG